rnacentral:rRNA from 1 species
UACGUAGGGCGCAAGCGUUAUCCGGAAUUAUUGGGCGUAAAGAGCUCGUAGGCGGUUUGUCGCGUCUGCCGUGAAAGUCCGGGGCUCAACUCCGGAUCUGCGGUGGGUACGGGCAGACUAGAGUGAUGUAGGGGAGACUGGAAUUCCUGGUGUAGCGGUGAAAUGCGCAGAUAUCAGGAGGAACACCGAUGGCGAAGGCGGGUCUCUGGGCCGAUAUUGACGCUGAGGAGCGAAAGCGUGGGGAGCGAACAGG